rnacentral:rRNA from 1 species
UACGUAGGGAGCAAGCGUUGUCCGGAAUUACUGGGCGUAAAGAGCUCGUAGGUGGUUUGUCGCGUUGUUCGUGAAAUCUCACGGCUUAACUGUGAGCGUGCGGGCGAUACGGGCAGACUUGAGUACUGCAGGGGAGACUGGAAUUCCUGGUGUAGCGGUGGAAUGCGCAGAUAUCUGGAGGAAUACCGGUGGCGAAGGCGGCAUCCUGGACCGGCAUUGACGCUGAGUGAGCGAAAGCCAGGGGAGCAAACGGG